rnacentral:rRNA from 1 species
GACGGGUGAGUAAUGUCUGGGAAGCUGCCUGAUGAGGGGGAUAACUACUGGAAACGGUAGCUAAUACCGCAUAACGUCGCAAGACCAAAGAGGGGGACCUUCGGGCCUCUUGCCAUCGGAUGUGCCCAGAUGGGAUUAGCUAGUAGGUGGGGUAACGGCUCACCUAGGCGACGAUCCCUAGCUGGUCUGAGAGGAUGACCAGCCACACUGGAACUGAGACACGGUCCAGACUCCUACGGGAGGCAGCAUG